rnacentral:lncRNA from 1 species
CCCGGUCCUACGAGCAAUCAACGAUAUAACCAUUAACUCUGUAAUGGUUCUGUCAGGCUCGUGCUGUUAAUGCAAUCUUGCUUCUUGUAAAAAAAAUGCAUGCAUGUGUUUGUUCACGUGUGCGCGACUGCGGUGAUGAAAAAUAUCUCAUUAUUGUCUCCAUAUAAACAGGACUUUAGGCUUGGCAAUGAUACUUUUUAUUUCCCACUAUAUAUAUUCUGCUAGAGCGGAUAACAAAAAAAAUAGCGAUGUCAUGAAGGGCAAGAACCUGCAACAUCUAGAUAUCAACAUCUUCAAUCAUAAAUGUAUAUUAUUAACCUAGCUUUACAUAAGUUAUCUGUGUCACUAUUCUAAACGAUUUUCUUUAUGGGUAUGGAGAGAGUAUAGUUUUGUAAUUUUGUUGUACUCCUAGUAGGUCCUAGCCAUAGCAAGGUUAUUAUACUUGGUGGGCUCAGCUGUAGACAUCGGCAUUAUACUGUCUGAGUUCACAUUAAUUUUGUUCCUUUCCGUUAAUUCACGCUGUACCUGUGAGCAAUACAGGCACGUGGUCUGAGUGUGAGCCAAAGCAUGCCUUGUAAACUUAAUUAAUUCUAGUUUAAUUCCAACCACUAUGUAAACUCGCGCGUCACUGUCGGUUCCUUCCGUGAACACUCUGUUCUUAUCACUCACAAAUGGAAAAAAAAAUGAAAAGAAGAAAUGAAACCCCUCUGAUCUUGGUCCUGGUGUGUCACACGUUGCCGGCCGGUACACACAUACUUGAUACUGUUAUUAGUGAUGUGCAUCCACGCCGGUCGUCACGUAUACGCAUCACGUAGCGAUCGAUCCGUGUCAGAGAUACUACAGUAUAUGCCUAUGCGUGAGCAGAGGCCACCACCACCAUCAUGCCAUGAUCGGUCACCGCUCCUUUUUGAGUUGGGCAGUGGGCGCCCCCACGAAAUAAAAAUCAAGACCUUAUUUAGUUCACCUUAAAAUUCAAAAAAAAUUCAAAAUUUGUAUAUGCAUAG